UACAGAGGUGGCAAGCGUUGUUCGGAAUUACUGGGCGUAAAGGGCGCGUAGGCGGCCACUGCAAGUCAGUUGUGAAAUCUCCGGGCUUAACUCGGAAAGGUCAACUGAUACUGCAGGGCUAGAGUGCAGAAGGGGCAACUGGAAUUCUCGGUGUAGCGGUGAAAUGCGUAGAUAUCGAGAGGAACACCUGCGGCGAAGGCGGGUUGCUGGGCUGACACUGACGCUGAAGCGCGAAAGCCAGGGGAGCGAACGGG
rnacentral:rRNA from 1 species